rnacentral:tRNA from 1 species
GUGGGUUGGCUCAGUGGUUAGACCGUAGGUCUCGUAACCGAAAGGUCGCGGGAUGGAAUCCCGCUAGAGGCUGACA